AAUAGACCCCACUCAACCCUUCAUUUCUCUACUUGGCCGUCUCAGAACCUUAGCUACCAAAAACUUAGAAAUGCCUUCCACGUUUCCACAGCGAAAACAAAGUUUUCAAAUGGGUUAAGCAGUGAUACACACACCCCGCCAAAGUUUUCAAAGUCAUCAAAGCCAUAUUUCAGUAAAAAAAAAAAAAAAAAAACAAAGAGCCAAACCGUCGCGAUUAAGCUCAACGGCGCCGUCGCGAUUAAGCUCCCACCAUCGCCGUUGAACUCCCACCGUCACGAUUAAGCUCAAACCGUCGCCGAUGAAGCUCAAACCGUCGCCGAUGAAGCUCCGUUAAGAGCCAACCGUCGCCGAUUAAGCUCAACGGCGACCAUUCGCAUUCUCGGCGACCGUUCGCCUUCCUUCAAAUCGGCGACCAUUCGCCUUCCCGGCGACCGUUCGCCUUCCUUCGAAUCGGCUACCGUUCGCCUUCACCGAACUUCGACUUCGUUGCUUCAUUCUCAAAUCGUCAAACAUGGAUAAAAGUUGGAUGACAAUGGGUAAGACACCCGAUGGCAGAUUAAGUCAUCCAUAUAUUAAAGUGGUCAAUGCAUUUAUUAAUUUUGCAAGGGUAGUUGUGGACGUGAGUGGUAAUAUUCCAUGCCCGUGUAUUCAUUGUGGGAAUUACUAUCGACAAGGGUAGUUAAAACACUUUUUUAUUUCUUAUUGGUGACUUUUAGGAGAUUUACUUUUGGCAUUACUUGAAGACAUAUGAGAACAUCUUCCAUUAGUUCUAAAAUAGGGUUUAGGUAGAGUUAUUGUAUGUAUUGCAAACAAUUAUUGUAUGGAAGGAGUUUGAAUUAUAUACUUGUUUUAUUUUUUA